rnacentral:rRNA from 1 species
UACAGAGGUCCCGAGCGUUGUUCGGAUUCACUGGGCGUAAAGGGUGCGUAGGUGGUCGGGUAAGUCCGAGGUGAAAUCUCCAAGCUUAACUUGGAAACUGCCUUGGAUACUAUUCGGCUGGAGGGUUGGAGGGGGGACUGGAAUGCUUGGUGUAGCAGUGAAAUGCGUAGAUAUCAAGCGGAACACCAGUGGCGAAGGCGAGUCCCUGGACAACUCCUGACACUGAGGCACGAAAGCGUGGGGAGCAAACAGG